GUAAGACGUGCCUGCUUCCCCUUCGCCUUUUGCCAUGAUUGUAAGUUUCCUGAGGCCUCCUAGUCAUGCUUCCUGUUAAGCCUGCAGAACUGGAGCAAAGUUUGUCAUCUUGAUACACUAGAUCUUUGAUGAUAUCAAUAAGGAAACAUCCACACCCUUUGGUUAAAAGACUCUGAGACUUCAAGGACUGCUGGCUGUCCAGAAGAGGCUGUGAUGGUUCAAGUGAGGCCCAAGGCUGUAGUUAUUACUCCACGAAGAGUCCAAGGCUGCUGAACAGAGUGAACCUCAGAACAGAUAGCAGUGGCACCUAGAAGAUAUAACCUCAACAGCAGACAAGAAUCAAGACCUUGUUCUUCAUAUCCAGAACCACCAGCUGGGGUCCCGCUUCCAUCAGAUUGAACCACACAGGAUCACAGUGGAGUCUCCUUCCUGAGUCUUCCCAGCCUGGAAACUCCUACUGCUGUCAAACCCCCUGACAGGAGCCUCAACUCUCUGAAUCGCUUCUUCUCUAGGGACCUGGGUGGAUUGACAUCCCUGACUCUUUGAAAUUCAAGUGUAAACCUCAUGCUGAGAUGGUGGCAUCAAAGGAGGGCAGAACCUUGGGUCCCUGAGUGACUAAAAGGAGAAUGAAAGCUGUCUCUUGUAGAUAGAAUAUUUUCAGCCGUCAUCAACAUGGACUCUUUGAAAUGUACUACUUCAGAAAAGCCUCAGUGACUCCCUCUGGUCCUCACCCACCUGAGAUGACAUCACGACGCAAAUCCAGGACUUACUCUCUUCAUACAGAUGGAAUGGUUCACUUGGCUUUUAGAGUGCAGACAAGCCGUUCAGUGGAGGGCGUGCCUCAGCCUGCACUCUUCUGACUCAUGACAUGACUUCUCCAUGGAGAGCCAGAAUUUUUCUCAAGUGUAACAAUAUUAAUUAUCAAGUCACUUUAAAACAUGUGUGAUGUAUGUGUGCAUUUAUUUCACAGGAAUGGUAUAAAGAUUAAAUACUUAAUGAAUCCAUUU